rnacentral:misc_RNA from 1 species
CAGUGACGAUGAAUCGAAGGAAAUAGUGGGGAGGAAAAGAUUUUUCGAUCUCCCUUCUUUAGUAGUGUUAAGAGGUGUUUUGGGAAGCUAGAUGUGUAGCGAUGCUUGUGAGGGGUAGUACUCAUGGCAGAUAUAACGAGAACAGUGAUGAAAAUCUCAAAAAGUUCUUCAAGAUCUAGGUUCUUUGUGCCCUUAAUUUCAAAGACUGUUGAUUCCUAUGUAACCUAAAAUUGACAUAGUGAAGGCCCAAAUAUCAGUUGAGUGGAGAGGCAACUCAAAUUCGGCCUUUGAAGGUGAGUCUUCUUCAGUAAUGGCUACAAUGUCUCCAUCAUAGUAAAGUUCCGUUUGGGUUUACGGUGUGAAGACAAAAACAAUUUUAUAAGCUGUUAGUUAAAUAAUAAAACUCUGUUUUUGUCCAUUCAAAACUGAGGGUUUUGUUAGCAUUGCUGUUGUAUUAUUCUGUGUUGCUUUUUAUGAAACUGCUG